rnacentral:sRNA from 1 species
CAAAAUUCAUCCAUAAGAUGUUGGAUGGUAGAACACUUUCCUGUCUCCUGACUGGAUUGUUCCACCCAGCGCCAUGUGUCCAGGCCCAUCCAGGUUGUGGCAGCUGUUGGUGCUCCCCUCCUUUUCAUGGCUGAGUAGUCUAUCAUCUGGAAGGAGCACAUUUUGUCUGUCGGCUCCUCCAUUGGUGGACAUUUGGCCUGUGUCCACCUUGGGGCUGCGUCAAGUAAGCUAGAGAAAAGCAAAUGCUAUUAAGAUGCUAGGCAUGGUGGCUCACGCCUGUAAUCCUAGCACUUUGGGAGGCCGAGGCGGGCGGAUCACGAGGCCAGGGGUUUGAGACCAGCCUGACCAACAUGGUGAAACCCCGUCUCUACUAAAAAUACAAAAAUUAGCUGGAUGUGAUGGCACGCACCUGUAAUCCCAGCUACUCGGGAGGCUGAGACCAAGCUGUACACCCUGCCUGCAAGCCACGCCACGCGCGUGUAUGAGAUGCUGGUCAGCCACAUUCAGCUCCACUACAAGCACAGCUACACCCUGCCAAUUGCGAGCAGCAUCCGGCUGCAGGCCUUUGACUUCCUGUUGCUGCUGC